CUUAGCAUUGCUUGAAAAUACAUUUUAAAUCAAUUGUUUCGUCAAAUCUAAUAAAAAAAAACCCGUGAUUAAUUUUCGAGCAUGGGCAGUGGCUUAUUAUAAUUCGGAUUCAUAUGUUUAUUUGUGGCGCAAAAACUGGAAUUUGUGAAUGCGAAGCAUCUGAGAUGACGUCAUGAGCGGGUUGCGGCCCACUUGCGCACUUGGCACGCUUAGCGGUACUUUCGCAGCCGUUAUACCAAAAAUAAACAACAGCCAUCUGAAUAUUGAGCCGCCUCGCUCGACUUGACUGCGCAGUUACAUUCGGAAUUGCGCAAUUUGGGUUUCAAGUGCAAAAACUGGACGCUGAACUCACUCACGACAGCAAAACGACGACAAAAAAUACUUCCUGACACUGGGCGUCACCCCAAUGCUCCGCUUGAGGCGUAGGGCUUUGGCUUGAAGCUGAUCUUCCGGCAUCGCGGAUGGCCAGCGGCGCACCUUCCCCUCAUCUUUCUGCUGACACUGAGGUUUGGCUGCGGCGUAACCUGAUAUAUCACAUACCUCAACAUCUGAGAGGUGUUUGACCCAACUCUUCAAGACUGACUUUUAAUUAUUUCUUUCAUACGAGAACACAAAGGCAACUUGAAAUCGGAACUGCUGCAAGAAGUGACCGCUUAUCGCUGCGAAAGAUGCUGCUAAUCGCAUCUCAUUGACCUCUGCCUGACAUUUGACAUCGCUACUUACCACAUUUAUCUUGAAAUACAAUAUCCUUCAUACAAUUAUUUCUUUUAAUUAAUAUAUAUACAACAAAAAGCA
rnacentral:sRNA from 1 species